UCGAUUGUGCUGAGUGAUAGAGAGAGAGAGAGAGAGAGACCAAGACGAUUGGAAUUGCUGCAAACGGAUAAUUAGAAUAUUAGAGACGAAGACGAUUGUUCUUCUUGUUCCCGCGACUUGGCCAGAAACAGAGCGAGGGAGAACUGAUUCGAGACAUCUGUAGUAAAGAAUGAGUUCCAAAGUACGAGAAGACAUAUGAUCAUAGUCAGGCUCAUCAUGAUAUGGUGGGCCUUGGAGGAGAUUAUGUGCUUUGCCAGCAUUUUGGCUUAUGGAGCAAUAUUUGGGAUGAAGUGUUCUGCAUUAAGAUCCUGAAAUUAAGACCUUGAGCACAUCUGGUUCCGAUAACUGGUCUAAAGGCACCAUCUAGGGAUGGAUUGCUCAAGCAUGUUGCUCAAGAUUUGUAAAGUUGACAAAGGAUGUACUUGAAAGAAGAGGCUUUAAGGAAUCCAACUUCUUGAAUGAGGUGGCAGAGGUGGUCAGAACCGUUAAGUAAUUAGGAUUUAGGAGUUGCACAUCUUCCAGCUCCAGCGAUGAUGAUACCCCCAAUACUAAGGUAAACUGAUAGCAAUUUGGUUGGUUUUUAAGUUAUUUCAAAUGUUUGCAGAUUGCAAACCGUCUUAAUACUGGGUUUCUAGCAUUAGGAGAAAGCCUUUGAGGGUCUUGCUCCAAGUGAAUACAGGUGGAGAAGAAUGUAAGUUAACUGGAUUUGAGCUCCUACUUUCACAGAAAUGUUUUGUCUAUUUCUUUCUAUACCUGUAUGUGGAUUUAAUUUUUCUCAAUUAGUGGUUGAGUUGGGGAAUUGGAAGAUUGUUUACGAAGGAUCUGUUUAUAUUAUUGUAUUAGUGUUUGUAAUGCACAAUAUCUUUGUUUUAUUGAUUGUAAUUUUUGGUCUGGUUUUGUUCAUUGAUUGCUUCCAUUAUUGUGAUUAUACAUAUGGUUUUUCAGGUUUUGAAAAUAUACCUAAAAGGAAACUAAUCCUUGGAGAACCAUUCAUGGUCUGUCAAUUAAGGUAUUUCAAGCGAACACUGUUUGCUGCAGCCAAAUCAGAAGUUUCUGGUGCUGCUUAUAUGGCUCAGACGAUGGCCCACCCGCUUGAGGAGUUCUUUGAAUUAGCAUAUAGGAAGCCUGAUGAAGAAAAGGCAGUUGUAUAUGAUACAUGCUUUUUGUCUCCAUUGUUUUCUGUUUUAUGAAUUGGGGGUAUUAGAUUGUAUACUUUGUGAGGAUCAAUUGAAGAAAUUUAAGGUGCAAG